GAUGAACGCUGGCGGCGUGCCUAAUACAUGCAAGUCGAGCGAAUGGAUUAAGAGCUUGCUCUUAUGAAGUUAGCGGCGGACGGGUGAGUAACACGUGGGUAACCUGCCCAUAAGACUGGGAUAACUCCGGGAAACCGGGGCUAAUACCGGAUAACAUUUUGAACCGCAUGGUUCGAAAUUGAAAGGCGGCUUCGGCUGUCACUUAUGGAUGGACCCGCGUCGCAUUAGCUAGUUGACGAGGUAACGGCUCACCAAGGCAACGAUGCGUAGCCGACCUGAGAGGGUGAUCGGCCACACUGGGACUGAGACACGGCCCAGACUCCUACGGGAGGCAGCAGUAGGGAAUCCUCCGCAAUGGACGAAAGUCUGACGGAGCAACGCCGCGUGAGUGAUGAAGGCUUUCGGGUCGUAAAACUCUGUUGUUAGGGAAGAACAAGUGCUAGUUGAAUAAGCUGGCACCUUGACGGUACCUAACCAGAAAGCCACGGCUAACUACGUGCCAGCAGCCGCAGUAA
rnacentral:rRNA from 1 species